rnacentral:rRNA from 1 species
AUUGAACGCUGGCGGCAUGCCUUACACAUGCAAGUCGAACGGUAACGGGCCUUCGGGUGCCGACGAGUGGCGAACGGGUGAGUAAUGCAUCGGAACGUACCUUUCAGUGGGGGAUAACGUAGCGAAAGUUACGCUAAUACCGCAUAUUCUGUGAGCAGGAAAGCAGGGGAUCGCAAGACCUUGCGCUGAUUGAGCGGCCGAUGUCAGAUUAGCUAGUUGGUGAGGUAAAGGCUCACCAAGGCGACGAUCUGUAGCGGGUCUGAGAGGAUGAUCCGCCACACUGGAACUGGAACACGGUCCAGACUCCUACGGGAGGCAGCAGUGGGGAAUUUUGGACAAUGGGGGCAACCCUGAUCCAGCCAUGCCGCGUGAGUGAAGAAGGCCUUCGGGUUGUAAAGCUCUUUCGGCCGGGAAGAAAUCGCACGGGCUAAUACCCUGUGUGGAUGACGGUACCGGAAUAAGGAGCACCGGCUAACUACGUGCCAGCAGCCGCCGUAAGAC